rnacentral:rRNA from 1 species
CACGUAGGGUGCGAGCGUUGUCCGGAAUUAUUGGGCGUAAAGAGCUCGUAGGCGGUGUGUCGCGUCGGCCGUGAAAACCUGUAGCUUAACUGUGGGCUUGCGGUCGAUACGGGCAUCACUGGAGUUCGGCAGGGGAUACUGGAAUUCCUGGUGUAGCGGUGAAAUGCGCAGAUAUCAGGAGGAACACCGGUGGCGAAGGCGGGUCUCUGGGCAUUAACUGACGCUGAGGAGCGAAAGCAUGGGGAGCGAACAGG